UACCAAUACAAAUCAAUUGAUAAGAUUAACAAAGACAUCGAAAUGUUCCUACGCAAAUCCCAUCCGUAGUACUCCAACAAGCAAUCGCUGCUUGCUCUCCACGCUGAUGCAGACCGACGCCGUAUGAAUCAAAGCUGUCGCCGUCGCUGCUGCCCAUGCGCAUGACCGUGGCCUUAAUGAGGUGUGCUGGGCGCCGGGGUGAGUUUGGACAGACAGCGUGGGGUUUUGCGAGGGAUGGAUCACGGGAUUCGGGUCGGCUGCGGACAGAUCUCCAUCCAGACAACUGCGCGGUGGCUCCACCUCACAGCCAUGUGCACGCUCGGAUUGAGGCAGCAGCUGGAGUGGACCCUCGCGAUGGCGAUGGUGGUGGGGAAGAUGAAGGUGGUGGUGGCGGAGAAGGAAGCUUCGAGUGAGUCUGUGGAGAUACUUCCAUUUAACAGAAAGUUUCCAGAAGAAUUGAACCAAGCAACUAAAUAAGACUGCUGAUGAAUCGCUCACCAGGGAAGUACAAAACUAUUCCAACCCUCACCCAUCAUUAUCUUAGAGGAAAAGAGAGCUCUAGUUACUGAAGCAAGGGCUUUUCAAGCAUGGGCACGAGUAUCCUCCUCUAUCUUGGAAACCUUAAGAUCCAUAUCUGUUCUUCUGGUUGCAGUCAUUUUUCUCAUUGACGACAAAUGUGAUUUGCACAAUUAAAUAAUAAGACUACUCUUCAGUAGGAUGACCAUGAAAUCUGUGCUUACAUUGCAUGUCUAGUUGUGCCCAGAAACACAAACAUGAUGAGCAGUUGGCAGGGCGAUGAGUCCUUCAAAGUAGCAGAGGCCUGCAACAUGCUCCAUGAGUGGAAGGAUGGUGGAAGAGCCCCACUUGGUUCAUGUGGUUAGUAGCUCUGCAAGAGCAAGUUGAGUCACCAGUGACGCAAGCAAUAAAUUGACAUGAAGCCCCAACGAGCAUGGUGGAGCUGAAGGAGUGUUGGGUCGCUCUUUUGCUUAGUGCAUGUUGGAUUUAGUAGAAAAAUUUAAGUUGAGCGAUUGUGGCUAAAGUAUUCACAGGUGAAAAAAGUUCAUAGUUUAUUUUCACAAAUGAAGUAUCGAUUCGGCAUUUAACUGUUUUA